AAAGCCAGUGGCGCGAAGC
rnacentral:snRNA from 1 species